CUGCAGGCUUGCAGCCCCACACCUAUGCACCGGCAACGUGCCCCCAGGAACACAGGACCAACUCCAAAUUUGGGAAUGAAGAUAAUGUUCAGGGGAACACAGGACCAACUCCAAAUUUGGGAAUGAAGAUAAUGUUCAGCUACAUUUUCACCCCAUCCCGGGCUCCAUGUUCCUGCUGCACACACAUCAAGAAUGCUGCUAAUUUCAGCGUCUGCCUUCCAGACCCAGACGUCAAAACAACUACCUUUCAUCUCAGCAAACUACUAUGUUGUGAGCAGCCCAAUG
rnacentral:lncRNA from 1 species